rnacentral:rRNA from 1 species
UCGCGGCGGUGCGCGCAGAAGGGUCUGGGCUCGAGCCUGCCUGGAGCCGCCGCCGGUGCAGAUCUUGGUGGUAGUAGCAAAUACUCCAGCGAGGCCCUGGAGGACUGAUGUGGAGAAGGGUUUCGUGUGAACAGCCGUUGCACACGAGUCAGUCGAUCCUAAGCCCUAGGAGAAAUCCGAUGCAAACGGCGAUGGGAAACAUUUUUAUGGACGACUCGUUCUGUGAGACAGAGACCCAUUGAUCGGGCGAAAGGGAAUCCGGUUCCUAUUCCGGAACCCGGCAGCGGAACCGUUGUUUGUCGGGCCCUCGCAAGGGGUUCGUCAGGGCAACCUAAAAGGGCCCGGAGACGCCGUCGGGGGCCCCGGAAAGAGUUUUCUUUUCUGCAUGAGCGUUCGAGUUCCCUGGAAUCCUCUCGCAGGGAGAUAGGGUUUGGAACGCGAAGAGCACCGCAGUUGCGGCGGUGCGCGGGAAUUCCCGACGGACCUUGAAAAUCCGGGAGAGGGCCACGUGGAGGUGUCGCGCCGGCUCGUACCCAUAUCCGCAGCAGGUCUCCAAGGUGAAAAGCCUCUAGUC